rnacentral:rRNA from 1 species
UACGAAGGGGGCAAGCGUUGCUCGGAAUUAUUGGGCGUAAAGCGCACGUAGGCGGCAUUGCAAGUCUGAUGUGAAAUCCCUCGGCUUAACCAAGGAAGUGCAUCGGAAACUGCAGUGCUUGAGUACUUAAGAGGAUCGCGGAAUUCCCGGUGUAGAGGUGGAAUGCGUAGAUAUCGGGAGGAACACCAGUGGCGAAGGCGGUUGCCUGGAGCUUUGCUGACGCUGAUGCGCGAAAGCGUGGGGAGCGAUCAGG